rnacentral:tRNA from 1 species
GGGCUCUUAGCUCACCUGGUAGAGCGCUUCCAUGGCAUGGAAGAGGUAAGGGGUUCGAUCCCCAUAGAGUCCA